rnacentral:rRNA from 1 species
CCUACGGGAGGCAGCAGUGGGGAAUAUUGCGCAAUGGGCGAAAGCCUGACGCAGCGACGCCGCGUGAGGGAUGAAGGUCUUCGGAUCGUAAACCUCUGUCAGCAGGGAAGAACGGUCACUGUGCUAAUCAGCAGUGAAUUGACGGUACCUGCCAAGGAAGCACCGGCUAACUCCGUGCCAGCCGCCGCGGUAAUACGGAGGGUGCGAGCGUUAAUCGGAAUUACUGGGCGUAAAGCGCUCGUAGGCGGUAUGUCAAGUCAAGGGUGAAAUCCCCGCGCUCAACGUGGGAACUGCCUGUGAAACUGGCAAACUGGAGUGUGGGAGAGGAUAGUGGAAUUCCGGGUGUAGGGGUGAAAUCCGUAGAUAUAUGGAGGAACAUCAGUGGCGAAGGCGACUAUCUGGCACAUAACUGACGCUGAGGAGCGAAAGCGUGGGUAGCAAACAGGAUUAGAUACCCCUGUAGUC